GCGCCUAUGGUGUAAUUGGAUAGCAUGACUGUUUCCUAAACUAUAGGUCCAGGUUCGAGUCCUGGUAGGCGCA
rnacentral:tRNA from 1 species